UACGAAGGGGCUAGCGUUGUUCGGAAUUACUGGGCGUAAAGCGCACGUAGGCGGAUAUUUAAGUCAGGGUGAAAUCCAGAGCUCAACUCUGGAACUGCCUUGAUACUGGUAUCUCGAGUAUGAGAGUGAGUGAAUUCCGAGUGUAGAGGUGAAUGCGCAGAUAUCAGGAGGAACACCGUGGCGAAGCGGUCUCUGGCCGAUACUGACACUGAGAGCGAAGCGUGGAGC
rnacentral:rRNA from 1 species